GGGUUGUGAGGUUAAGCGAAUAAGCGUACACGGUGGAUGCCUAGGCAAUCAGAGGCGAUGAAGGACGUGCUAAUCUGCGAAAAGCGUCGGUAAGGUGAUAUGAACCGCUAUACCCGA
rnacentral:rRNA from 1 species